GAUGAACGCUGGCGGCGUGCCUAAUACAUGCAAGUCGAGCGAACAGACGAGGAGCUUGCUUCUCUGACGUUAGCGGCGGACGGGUGAGUAACACGUGGAUAACCUACCUAUAAGACUGGGAUAACUUCGGGAAACCGGAGCUAGUACCGGAUAAUAUAUUGAACCGCAUGGUUCAAUAGUGAAAGACGGUUUUGCUGUCACUUAUAGAUGGAUCCGCGCUGCAUUAGCUAGUUGGUAAGGUAACGGCUUACCAAGGCAACGAUGCGUAGCCGACCUGAGAGGGUGAUCGGCCACACUGGAACUGAGACACGGUCCAGACUCCUACGGGAGGCAGCAGUAGGGAAUCUUCCGCAAUGGGCGAAAGCCUGACGGAGCAACGCCGCGUGAGUGAUGAAGGUCUUCGGAUCGUAAAACUCUGUUAUUAGGGAAGAACAAAUGUGUAAGUAACUAUGCACGUCUUGACGGUACCUAAUCAGAAAGCCACGGCUAACUACGUG
rnacentral:rRNA from 1 species